rnacentral:rRNA from 1 species
GAUGAACGCUGGCGGCGUGCCUAAUACAUGCAAGUCGAGCGAACAGAUGAGGAUCUUGCUCCUCUGACGUUAGCGGCGGACGGGUGAGUAACACGUGUAUAACCUACCUAUAAGACUGGGAUAACUUCGGGACACCGGCGCUAAUACCGGAUAAUAUAUUGAACCGCAUGGUUCAAUAGUGAAAGACGGUUUUGCUGUCACUUAUAGAUGGAUCCGCGCCGCAUUAGCUAGUUGGUAAGGUAACGGCUUACCAAGGCAACGAUGCGUAGCCGACCUGAGAGGGUGAUCGGCCACACUGGAACUGAGACACGGUCCAGACUCCUACGGGAGGCAGCAGUAGGGAAUCUUCCGCAAUGGGCGAAAGCCUGACGGAGCAACGCCGCGUGAGUGAUGAAGAUCUUCGGAUCGUAAAACUCUGUUAUUAGGGAAGAACAAAUGUGUAAGUAACUAUGCACGUCUUGACGGUACCUAAUCAGAAAGCCACGGCUAACUACGUG